GACGAACGCUGGCGGCGUGCUUAACACAUGCAAGUCGAACGGAAAGGCCCUGCUUUUGUGGGGUGCUCGAGUGGCGAACGGGUGAGUAACACGUGAGUAGCCUGCCCUUGACUUUGGGAUAACUUCGGGAAACUGGGGCUAAUACCGGAUAGGAGCUCCUGCUGCAUGGUGGGGGUUGGAAAGUUUCGGCGGUUGGGGAUGGACUCGCGGCUUAUCAGCUUGUUGGUGGGGUAGUGGCUUACCAAGGCUUUGACGGGUAGCCGGCCUGAGAGGGUGACCGGCCACAUUGGGACUGAGAUACGGCCCAGACUCCUACGGGAGGCAGCAGUGGGGAAUAUUGCACAAUGGGCGGAAGCCUGAUGCAGCAACGCCGCGUGCGGGAUGACGGCCUUCGGGUUGUAAACCGCUUUCGCCUGUGACGAAGCGUGAGUGACGGUAAUGGGUAAAGAAGCACCGGCUAACUACGUGCCAGCAGCCGCGGUGAUACGUAGGGUGCGAGCGUUGUCCGGAUUUAUUGGGCGUAAAGGGCUCGUAGGUGGUUGAUCGCGUCGGAAGUGUAAUCUUGGGGCUUAACCCUGAGCGUGCUUUCGAUACGGGUUGACUUGAGGAAGGUAGGGGAGAAUGGAAUUCCUGGUGGAGCGGUGGAAUGCGCAGAUAUCAGGAGGAACACCAGUGGCGAAGGCGGUUCUCUGGGCCUUUCCUGACGCUGAGGAGCGAAAGCGUGGGGAGCGAACAGGCUUAGAUACCCUGGUAGUCCACGCUGUAAACGGUGGGUACUAGGUGUGGGGUCCAUUCCACGGGUUCCGUGCCGUAGCUAACGCUUUAAGUACCCCGCCUGGGGAGUACGGCCGCAAGGCUAAAACUCAAAGGAAUUGACGGGGCCCCGCACAAGCGGCGGAGCAUGCGGAUUAAUUCGAUGCAACGCGUAGAACCUUACCUGGGUUUGACAUGGAUCGGGAGUGCUCAGAGAUGGGUGUGCCUCUUUUGGGGUCGGUUCACAGGUGGUGCAUGGCUGUCGUCAGCUCGUGUCGUGAGAUGUUGGGUUAAGUCCCGCAACGAGCGCAACCCUUGUUCACUGUUGCCAGCACGUUAUGGUGGGGACUCAGUGGAGACCGCCGGGGUCAACUCGGAGGAAGGUGGGGAUGACGUCAAGUCAUCAUGCCCCUUAUGUCCAGGGCUUCACGCAUGCUACAAUGGCUGGUACAGAGAGUGGCGAGCCUGUGAGGGUGAGCGAAUCUCGGAAAGCCGGUCUCAGUUCGGAUUGGGGUCUGCAACUCGACCUCAUGAAGUCGGAGUCGCUAGUAAUCGCAGAUCAGCAACGCUGCGGUGAAUACGUUCCCGGG
rnacentral:rRNA from 1 species